GCACGGUUAACUCAGCCGUUACAGCAUUAUAAUUUUAAUCCAACGAUCAAGGGUUCAAGUCCCUUAUCGGGCU
rfam:Ciona savignyi cont_31117, whole genome shotgun sequence.